AUUGAACGCUGGCGGCAGGCCUAAUACAUGCAAGUCGAACGAGUGGCGGACGGGUGAGUAAUGUCUGGGAAACUGCCUGAUGGAGGGGGAUAACUACUGGAAACGGUAGCUAAUACCGCAUACCAUCGGAUGUGCCCAGAUGGGAUUAGAUAGUAGGUGGGGUAAAGGCUCACCUAGGCGACGAUCCCUAGCUGGUCUGAGAGGAUGACCGUCCACACUGCAACUGAGAUACGGUCCAGCCUCCUACGGUGGGCAGCAGUGGGGAAUAUUGCACAUUGGGCGCAAGCCUACUGCAGCCAUGCCGCUUGUAUUAGGAAGGCCUUCGGGUUGUAACGUUCUUUCAGCGGGGAGGCGUUACCCGCAGAAGAAGCGCCGGCUAACUCCGUGCCAGCAGCCGCGGUAAUUC
rnacentral:rRNA from 1 species